AUAAUCCUGAAGUGUUCGUUAAAGGAACUUAUAAUUCAACCUACAGAAUUCAAACGGGAGUCCGGACGUCCAUUUGAAAGAUGUCAGGCCCGCUCCGACGGGAAGACAGGCAGCAAAGGCAGGACACCCACCUAACGUGAGUUAGGGCGUGAAUUAUUCUCCUUGACGGCAUGUCGGGAUUAUU
rnacentral:other from 1 species